rnacentral:rRNA from 1 species
UUAAUCCUACGGGAGGCAGCAGUGGGGAAUAUUGCACAAUGGGGGAAACCCUGAUGCAGCAACGCCGCGUGAGUGAAGAAGGUUUUCGGAUUGUAAAGCUCUGUUAGCAGGGAAGAGGAAGGACGGUACCUGACUAAGAAGCCCCGGCUAACUACGUGCCAGCAGCCGCGGUAAUACGUAGGGGGCAAGCGUUAUCCGGAUUUACUGGGUGUAAAGGGAGCGUAGACGGCAGAGCAAGUCUGAAGUGAAAGCCCGCGGCCCAACUGCGGGACUGCUUUGGAAACUGCCCGGCUAGAGUGCUGGAG